GUUGAUGUAGCUUAGUGUUAAAAGUGCUUGCCUAGCAUGCAAGAAACCAUACUCAAUCAAUCACCCACA
rnacentral:tRNA from 1 species